GAGUUUGAUCCUGGCUCAGGAUGAACGCUAGCGGCAGGCCUAAUACAUGCAAGUCGAACGCUCAGUAGCAAUGCUGGGAGUGGCGCACGGGUGCGUAACGCGUACACAAUCUACCUCUAAGCGGGGGACACCUCCUGAAACGGGGAUUAAUACCGCAUAAUAUGCCGAGGUCGCAUGACUUUGGUAUUAAAGCAGCAAUGCACUUAGAGAUGAGUGUGCGUCCCAUUAGGUAGUUGGUGAGGUAACGGCUCACCAAGCCUAUGAUGGGUAGCCGGUCUGAGAGGAUGGUCGGCCACACGGGCACUGAGACACGGGCCCGACUCCUACGGGAGGCAGCAGUAAGGAAUAUUGGUCAAUGGUGGAAACACUGAACCAGCCAUGCCGCGUGGAGGAAUAAGGUCCUACGGAUUGUAAACUCCUUUUGACGAGGAAGAAAGUGUUAGAUUUAUCUAAUUUUGACGGUACUCGUAGAAUAAGCACCGGUUAACUCCGUG
rnacentral:rRNA from 1 species